rnacentral:rRNA from 1 species
GACGAACCGAGCGAACGUUGUUCGGAAUCACUGGGCUUAAAGGGCGCGUAGGCGGGCUGUCAAGUCUGGGGUGAAAUCCCGCGGCUCAACCGUGGAACUGCCUCAGAUACUGACGGUCUCGAGGGAGGUAGGGGCGAGCGGAACUGAUGGUGGAGCGGUGAAAUGCGUUGAUAUCAUCAGGAACUCCGGUGGCGAAGGCGGCUCGCUGGACCUCUUCUGACGCUGAGGCGCGAAAGCGUGGGGAGCAAACAGG